rnacentral:rRNA from 1 species
GACGAACGCUGGCGGCGUGCUUAACACAUGCAAGUCGAACGAAGUGGCGAACGGGUGAGUAACGCGUAAUCAACCUGCCCUUCAGAGGGGGACAACAGUUGGAAACGACUGCAAAUACCGCAUACUGAAGGAGGGGAUUGCGUAUGAUUAGCUAGUUGGAGGGGUAACGGCCCACCAAGGCGAUGAUCAGUAGGCGGUCUGGAAGGAUGAACGGCCACAUUGGGACUGAGAAACGGCCCAGACUCCGUCGGGAGGCAGCAGUGGGGAAUCGUCCGCAAUGGAGGAAAGUCUGACGGAGCAACGCCGGGUGAGUGAUGACGGCCUUCGGGUUGUUAAGCUCUGUUAAUCGGGACGCGGUACCGGAAUAGGAAGCCACGGCUAACUACGUGCCAGCCGCCGCGGUAAUAC